AGUCGAAGAGGCAGAAAUUUGGGAAAGGAGAAAGGCUCCCCCCUUCUCUCUCUCUGUGUUUGUGUGUUCUAUGGGCGUGGCGACACUCUCUGGCUCCUGCUGCCAAGCUCCAGCUGCACCUGAGCCUCUUUUCACUAAUCAGUUCCUGCUGCUCAGCCCCGGUCCUUCAGUUCAUUCCUCGCCAGAUCGGCGGUUAACCUGAGUGCCUGGAAGACCCAGCACUCGCCCACAGCUCACUGCCAGUCUGGGGACCUAUUCGUCUGCUUGCCGCUUCCUGGUGGCCACUCUGCCCAGCUCCAACCCUUCCCUGCCUAAGUCACCUUCUCUUGCACGCUCAAAAUAAACUGACUGUACUUCUA